rnacentral:rRNA from 1 species
UGCGUAGGCGGGCUAAUAAGUCAGUGGUGAAAUCUUCCGGCUCAACCGGGAACCUGCCAUUGAUACUGUUAGUCUUGAGUACGGCUGAGGUAGGCGGAAUGUGUAAUGUAGCGGUGAAAUGCUUAGAUAUUACACAGAACACCAAUUGCGUAGGCAGCUUACUAGACCGUAACUGACGCUGAGGCACGAAAGCGUGGGUAGCGAACAGGAUUAGAUACCCUGGUAGUC